GUGCUUGCUUCAGCAGCACACAGACAAAAAUUGGAAUGAUACAGAGAAGAUUUUCAUGGCCCCUGAGGAAGGAUGAUAUGCAAAUUCCUGAAGCGUUUCCUAUUUUU